rfam:Trichomonas vaginalis G3, whole genome shotgun sequence.
GUAGUCUGCCAUACGCAGGAAGACCCGCUGAACUGAAGCAUCUCAUUAAGCGGAGGAAAAGAAACUAACUAGGAUUCCCUUAGUAAAGGCGAUCGAAAAGGGAACAGCCCAACGUCUUAAUCCCGCAAGGGAAAUGUAGUCGGUUCACCUAUUGCACUGGUCUAAGUCAGAUGGAAUGCUGCGCGAUUCAGAGUAAAAGCCUCGUAUGACCAACCGCAAGCUUACGAUGGACCGGGGAGAGUCGGAUACUUUGAGAGUAGUGUCUUAAGGGGGUGGUAUGUCCCAUCCAAGGCUAAAUAACGUGAGGAGACCGAUAGAUUACAAGUAGUGUGAACGAAAGAUGAAAAGAACUCUAAAACAGAGGGUGAAAAGUUCCUGAACUUGCUUAGGGUUAAGGCUAUUUAUAGUACCCGUCUUGAAACACGGAUUAGGGAGUUUAUCUGUAGUGCGAGUCUUUGCACGUUAACUGUAAAGGCGUAGAGAAAGCAACUGGCGUUUGCAUGGCUACUGAGCAUUACUGAUAGGACCCGAAAGGUGGUGAACUUUGCCUGCACAGGUUGAAGUCAGGGGAAACUCUGAUGGAGGACCGUACGGGUUAUUGAUGUGCAAAUCAUUUUUCUGAUGUAGGUAAAGGUGCGAAAGACUCAUCGAACCACCUAAUAGCUGGUUUCCUCCGAAGUUUCCCUCAGGAUAGCUGUAAUGCAUUUAGUUAAGGGGAGUAGAGAUAUGGGUAGAGGUGCAGGGAGCCUUCGGGUUUCUCACUUAUUUCCAAACUUCGAACCUCUCCUUGUAGGCAUUUACCCUACUGGGAAUGCUUUAAUGAAUUAGCG